rnacentral:rRNA from 1 species
UGGGGGAUAUUGCACAAUGGGGGAAACCCUGAUGCAGCAACGCCGCGUGAAGGAAGAAGGUCUUCGGAUUGUAAACUUUUGUCUUGCGGGACGAAUAAUGACGGUACCGCAGGAGGAAGCCACGGCUAACUACGUGCCAGCAGCCGCGGUAAUACGUAGGUGGCGAGCGUUGUCCGGAAUUACUGGGUGUAAAGGGUGCGUAGGCGGAUUUGCAAGUCAGGUGUGAAAACUAUCGGCUUAACCGGUAGCCUGCACUUGAAACUGUGAGUCUUGAGUGGUGAAGAGGUAAGCGGAAUUCCUAGUGUAGCGGUGAAAUGCGUAGAUAUUAGGAGGAACACCAGUGGCGAAGGCGGCUUACUGGGCACUAACUGACGCUGAGGCACGAAAGCAUGGGGAGCAAACA